rnacentral:rRNA from 1 species
UACAGAGGUCCCGAGCGUUGCUCGGAUUUACUGGGCGGAAAGGGUGUGUAGGAGGUUAGAUAAGUCAGAUGUGAAAUCCCUUUGCUCAACCAAGGAACUGCACUUGAUACUGUCUAGCUAGAGGACAGGAGGGGGAAGCGGAACUCCUGGUGUAGCGGUGAAAUGCGUGGAUAUCGAGAGGAACACCGAUGGCGAAGGCGGCUUCCUGGACAAAACCUGACGCUGAUACACGAAAGCUAGCGGAGCGAACGGG